rnacentral:rRNA from 1 species
GAUGAACGCUGGCGGCGUGCCUAAUACAUGCAAGUCGAGCGAACAGAUAAGGAGUUUGCUCCUUUCACGUUAGCGGCGGACGGGUGAGUAACACGUGGGUAACCUACCUAUAAGACUGGGAUAACUUGGGGAAACCGGAGCUAAUACCGGAUAACAUUUUGAACCGCAGGGUUCAAAGGUAAAAGUCGGUUUUGCUGUCACUUAUAGAUGGACCCCCGCCGGAUUAGCUAGUUGGUAAGGUAACGGCUUUCCAAGGCGACGAUACGUAACCGACCUGAGAGGGUGGUCGGCCACCUUGGAAGGGGGACAGGGUCCAUACUCCUACGGGACGGAGCAGAAGGCAACGUGACGCAGUGGGCGGAAGCCUGACGGAGUAACCGGGCGUGUGUGAUGGAGGGUUUCGGUUCGGAAAACUGUGCUAUUAGGGAAGAACAACUGUGUAAGUAACUGUACCCGUCGUGACGGUACCUAAUCAGAAAGCCACGGCUAACUACGUG